rnacentral:lncRNA from 1 species
GUGAUAAUCAAUGGUACCAGCGGAAUCAAUGUUGAAUUUGGAAUCGAGACCUCUCUUCUUCACAAUAUCUCUAAAGACACCUUCAGCUGCUGGACUCCGACAGAUGUUCCCGAGACAGACGAAAAGAACAGAGUAAGGUUUGGUCUCGCUGCUCUGUUCCGGAGUCGUCGUCUCCAUAGAAGAUGAUGCAAAGCACUUACGGGAAUGAGAAAUUCUGGGUUUUGUGGCAGAGAGGGGUACAAUUGGGAAUACAAAUAAACGUUCCUACUUGCUUUAUUAUCAAGUCCGGUGAAUCAAGUGCUAGAGAUUUUAAUCAACAAUGCAAAGAAAAUAGUUGCAGGUCAAAGGCACUUUUUGGAGUCAUCUUGAACCUGUGAAGGUAUUAUAUACUAUGAGUAUGAGUCCUCUUCCGACGGAGAUAUGAAAGUGGCUAUGCAACAAUUUCUUGUUUCUUACGUCUCUUAUGAACACCACUCUCGAGUCUUGACUUUAUUGGCUAUAUCAUAUAUACAUAUGGAUGUGAAAUACAAGUUCUGUAAAGUUGCUACUAGAACUUCCAUGAUUUGUUUGUUUCUGUCCUAAUGUUGCGCUGUAGCUUCUUUGACAAGUUAGGUCUCAUGUGUUCACAAUACUUUGUUGAUUGUUAAUGAAAAAUGAGUUACUUAUUAUAUAUUAAGCGUAUAGGUAGGACUGUACAGUUGUAUACGAAUAUUACACAGAUUAAAACAGAGUGGUCUUUUAAAGUUUCUGAGGGAUACAAUAAUACGUGUACGUUGUUUUGAAUGUUCUAAGUUAUAAAUUAUACUUGUAUUUUCUUUUAGGGUACGUAGUUUCAUCACCAAGGUGCAAGGUCUGUCUUAUCUCUAGUAACCUUAACGUCUCACUCUCAUCUUUUUUUGCCCACUGCCUUUAAAGAAAACAUGCUGGUUUCUUGCUUCUUAGGUCACUUAUAGAAUCACUCUUGACGUUUCUGUUUAUCAAGACCAUAUACGGAUAAUGGAUGUGAAUACGAGUUUGCUAAGACAAAUCUUUACUUAAAGCAUAUCAUCAAAAGUACUUCGGUUCUUCCCUGUUUUGAUUAGCAUUCACAUUGUUUUUUCAAAAGGUAAGUUUAUUAAUGUUUUGGGCUACGAUAUGUGAACUUUCAUGAUUUGUUUGUUUCAGUUCUUAUGUUGUGUUGUAGUUUCUAGUGACAAGUUAGGUCUCAUGUGUUCAGUUUGUUGAUUGAGAAAAUGACAAAUGAGUUACUUACUUAUGGUAGGAUUAUAUUAUACAGUUGUAUAGAAUCAGAAUGUUACAAAGAAUUAAAACAGAACAGUCUCUUAAAGUUUCUGAAGAAGAAAGAAAAAUAUUUGAACCGAGUUUUGCAAUUAUGCAAUUGCAAAAUAUAAUAGCCCAUUUUCAAAAAGAUUCGACAACCUCUAUUCUCAAUUCAUAAUUAUGUAAAGAUUUGUUUUGAUCGUUUUCUUUUUUUGCUAAGAUCCUUAAUAUCAAUAGAAAUGAACUUAAAAGGUCUUACAAAAGCUUUACCUAGAGUAAAGUAUUACAAUAAAGGUGUCACUGAAUCCAUCGGAGCAUUAGAUGCCUUUAAGCAGUGUUGGUGUUGCACACCUCACGGUCUAUGAUUUCUUUGUUGCAUGUAGUUUGGUCUCUGUUGUAUUAUACUGUGUCCUUCUCACUUGGUUAUAGUCUCAUAUGGCAUGAGACGUAUGUAUUGGCAACAAGUUUAGUGUUAUGUUGCUAAAAUGUUUAAACUCCAAGAAAAGCUUCUCUUGUCCUUUUUAGUUUGAAGUUUAUUAUUACUCUUUCGAUUUCAGAAAAGAUCAACAAAAAAAAUCUUUGGAUGUUGGUUUUAUAUAUAGCGUAAACAAAAAUUGCAGGUAUGUGGUUUGGUCUCGUUGUGUUAUUCAAAAAGAUUUUGCUUGUUGCAGGGAAACUUACUGUUCCUUGCUUUGUAAUUCCAAUAAUCAGAAUCAUAUCAAUCGUGUUUAUCAAAGUAAACACCAACAAGAUUUAAGCUUCAUAUUAUCCUAAUCUCUCACUAUUGGCAUUCACUGAUGAUGUCUAAAAUAUAAUAAUAGAAUUUGCAAUUUUAUGUCCAACAAAAUGAGACUUGUAACUUACGUAUAUCAUCAUCAACUUUUCCACAGUGAUACUAUCCAGCAAAGACUCACAUAGUCACAUGCAUCUUUAAGCAAGUCCAGUACCUGUCAGCUACCCAUAGUGACUUAUUGACCUACAAUUAUCUGCAACUAAAUGAGCUCUAAAAUGAUGCUUAUUGAGUUAACCAGAGGAGCAACUAUAUAUCUAAAACCAUUCAAAAAGAGAUAUAAUAAUUCUUUAAUAGUUAUUACCUUUUUAAAACCAUGAACUCCACCCUAAUUUUACAGGUUUGGAUCGUGUUUGUUGUACAUUAGCUUACCCUGAAAAUGCAAUGAAAGCAUUUGUAAAAUCUCCAAAAAGAAACUCCAAAGACCAGCAAACAACAACAACAAUUAAACACCAAUGAUGACCUUCGUAUCGAAAUUCAUUAAUAAAGAAUAUUAGCUUCAUCUCAACUUGCAAAAUCCUUGAAUAAUUACUCUUAAUUUCUUCUACCUUUGUUUUUCUCAUCCAUUGCAAUAAUGACGUUAUCUCUAAUUUCGAUGACCUUUAUCUGCAAUUAGUUUCAAUUAAAGAUAACAAUACAGAGUCUUAUAUAAAUGUAAAACUGGCAUAAAAGUUUCUAACCUCCUCCAUCGAUGCCCAUCUCUGAUCGAAGCUCUCAUCAUCUUCGUUAUUAACACUAAGGAGCCUCCAAGAUUUGAUAUACCCCGCAUUCUCCGAUCUUCCAGUUGUCAUAUGUUUUGGUUGUGAACUCAAAGAUAAGCUCGGUGGAAGUCACAUCCUCUGCUUCAACUUCAAAUGUGUAGAGAUGCUCUGUUAAAAGUGGACCUAUAAAAAGAUCUCUAAGUGUACGCCGAACUUUGAGAUCGUUAUGUUUGUCUAUGAUGUCUAUUUUUACAAACAUCGAAUCAUGAUCAUCAACUGUUUCUUCAUUAAUAUUAACCAGCAUGAUGCAACCCUUCAAUCUUAAAGAUUUAGGAAGAGGCGACUCAUUUAACUUGAUUGUCAAGGAACCCCCAACAGUAGCUCGGUGAUUGAAGCAAGCAGGCACUUGUGUACCGGGUAAGAUCGCAUAUAUAGAAGUCCAUGUGUGCAUGAUGAGGUCUCUGGCUUCUUGAUUCAGUUUGAAGCAGUUGCUAAACUUCAGACAGAUCUUCGGAUUGUUAAAGGAACAAUCCAGUCUCUCAAGGGAUUGACAAUUGUCUGCAUCUAUGUCAUAAAUAAGGAAUCUGAAAGUUGCGGGAGUGAUACCAGAUUCUUACACUCGUUAAGUCUAAGUUUCUGUAAACCAGACAUCCCCUUGAUCCAUGCAGGAACUUCUUGUAUAUCUUCGCUUACCAAAUGCAACUUCGUGAUGAUGUCAAAAACAUGCGGGGAUUCACUAAGGCUUUCGAAGUAUGAAAUCUGAAUCUCAGAAAGACGAGACCACAACGUGAUCGACAAAGGAACUUCUUUUAUUGCAGUUCCUAUAAGCUUGAGAACCUUUAUGUUUGUCGAGAUCUCAGGAAAAGUUUUCAACUGCGAGCAAUUAGUGAGAUCAAGUAUAUAGAGAGAUUUCAAGUUGAUGUUGGUUGGAAGAGCCUCGAGCUUUGAGCAUCCGCACAUCUGUAACGUCCACAAUUUUUGAAGGUUUCCUAUAGAGGAAGGAAGCUCUACCAGACUUGAGCAGUUAGAUAGUUUAAGCUCACUGAGAUUAGUGAGAUCUCCAAUAAAGGACGGGAGUUUCACCAGACUUGAGCUUCCACUAAUAUCUAAUACCUGAAGAUUUGUGGCUGAUCUAAUAGAAGAAGGCAGCUCUAGUAGCCUUGAGCAAUUAUUGAGCUCCAUUAUGGAAAGAUGAGUGGCAUUCUCAAUAGCGGGGAGCUCCUCGACAAGCGAACAAUUUCUUAGAUACAAAUGCUUGAGAUCAGUGGCAUUGAUAGAGGAUGGGAGCUUCACAAGACUUGAACAGUUAUUAAGACUCAGUCGCUUAAGUUUGGUUUCCAUUCCAAUAGAGGGAAGCUCCACAAGAUUGAAGCAAUCAGAGAGAUCUAGUCUCUUGAGAUUGGUUGCAUUCUCAAUUGAAGAAGGGAUUUUCACCAGACUUGAGCACCCUUUGAGAUCUAAAUUUUUGAGACUGGUGAGUUUUUCCAAUAGAGAAGGGGAGCUCCACUAAACUUGAGCAAAUUCCGAGAAUUAAUUCUUUGAGAUUUGUGGCGGUUGACAUAUCUAGAAGCUCUUUCAAAUCUCUAGAACCACUCAAAUCCAUCCACUUGAGAUUUCUAAGUUGCUGCACAGAAAAAAUAAGAAAAUGAAAUUAUAUAUCAGUUUGGUUUAUAAAAGAGUGGUUAGACUUGUAGUUUUUUUUUUUUUAAUCUUUAAAUAUAUUAUAACGUGAUACAUUACUCUAUUUUUUAAUUGGUUAAGACAAUGUGGCGUGGACCUAAGUAUUGUCUGUUUUUUUUAUGAAAACAAAUUAUAAAAAUAAAUAUUGGAAGUUUUCAUCAGAUUACUUACUUUAGUUCCUUCCCACAACUUUUGAAGUUUGCCGUGGCGCAUAACUAGUUGGACGAGAAACUCAGGAUUAAAAGUUGAAGGCAAACAUAUAUUCUGGAAACAUGUCCAAUCCAGUAAUCUAAUCUUUUGCGAAUAAUAAAGCAGUGAUUCCAGUCUCUCAAGAUUACCAAUGAUUCUUACGAAUUGGAGAUUAGACAUUCUUUCAAGUGCAUUUUCACUUAUACUCAAUUCUUCCUCAGUCUUAGAUACUUCCAAAUUUAUACCUAUAAAACGACUACUAUCCUGACAAAAAAAAGAGACAAAAAAAAUAUAAGUAGAGAUGGUUAGUUAACCAAUAACUCAGUGUAGUGGGAAAACUUACUAUUGAAUUGUCACUUAGAAGUUCACAUACAUCUCUUUCACCAACCAAAAGCUGACGUCUCGGAGUGCCAUGCAUGAAUCGCUUACGAGAAGUUUCUCUUCCGAAAUGUACUAACAGAGUAUGCAUAUAUAUCCGAUUAUAAUUAAUAGAUAUGAGAGAUUUCUGAGCUAAGACAUGAAGACCUUGGCACACAUUGAAGAACUUAUUUGCAAGAACCUCUUCCAAUUUCUGAAUUCUUGGAAACUCUAAAGGUGUCUUGCCCUUGAGCACGGUCUGUGAGAAAAUGCAUGCUAAAUAAAGAAAUAGAUCUUUAUCUUCAUCACACAAGGCAUCAUAGCUAAACUUUACAAUGCUCUUUAUUUCCCCCAUCAAGACGAGUUUUUAACCUUGGUAGUGUCCUUUUCCACUCUUGCUUGGACAUUCCACGGAGAGCGGAGCCUAGAACCUUCAAUCCCAAAGGGAGUUCACCAGCAAGGUAUGAAACUUUCCUAGCAAGCUCAUAAAAACCAUUAUCUGGGUGCUUUUUUCCAAAGGCAUGCAUACAAAAUAUUUGAAAAGCCUCGUCACUUGAUGGAAAACACACUUUGUAAAUAUGAUUGAUCCCAUGCGCUUUAAGAACACUUAUAUCUUCUGUUGUGAUAACUAUCCGACUUCCAGGACCAAACCAUUGAGUUUCUUUCGCCAAGGCAUCUAGUUGUCCUAAUUGAUCCACUUCAUCAAGAACGAGAAACACUUUCUUGUCUUUCAACCGUUCUUGGGCCACUCCUAGAUGAGAAAUAUUGAUGUCUUUAUGAUUGAUCAUCUGAGACAACAUUUGGUUUUAUAGUUGUAAUUGUGCACUAUAUUCAUCCAAGCAAGGUCUUGGAUAGAAUCCUCUGAUAUUGACCAUGAUUGCGUCAUGUUGGAAUCUGCUGAAGACUUGGUUAAACAGAACUCUGGCGAUUGUGGUCUUACCAAUCCCUGGUGGUCCCCAAAUCCCAAUCAUCCUUACUUCAUCCAAAUUUANNNNNNNNNNNNNNNNNNNNNNNNNNNNNNNNNNNNNNNNNNNNNNNNNNNNNNNNNNNNNNNNNNNNNNNNNNNNNNNNNNNNNNNNNNNNNNNNNNNNGAUGGUAUGGAGCUAUUCAACAUGUUUGAAACAUCAGUGGCUAUUUUUUCGAUCAUGGCUGCUUCAUUGCUCCUACAUUAGAGGAUAUCAACGUGCAACUGUUAAUUAGACUAGUCAUGAAAAAUUUUCAUACAAACACAUCCAAAACUAAUGUUUUUUCUCGCCUUAAUAUAUUUUAAAAGCUACUAAUAAAUAUAGUUUGAUGACUAAGUAAAUUAUUACUUAAAAGAAACUAAAAUUCAAGAGGGCAAACCAGCUGCUAGAAUGCUCUCCAGCGAUCUUGGCCACAUCCUCCAAAGCUCUUCUCCAUAUCUCAAUAUGCUCUUUUGUUUUACCUUUACAAGUUUUAUUANNNNNNNNNNNNNNNNNNNNNNNNNNNNNNNNNNNNNNNNNNNNNNNNNNNNNNNNNNNNNNNNNNNNNNNNNNNNNNNNNNNNNNNNNNNNNNNNNNNNAAUUCCCUUUCUUCUAAACGAUUCCAAGAUGUGAGUAAGAAUGGUUCUUCGGACAUCUGCCCCGUGGAAGCUCGGGAAGACGUUGUGUUUCCAGUUUCUCUACCUUUUGUCGAAUUAUUGCCAUAGCGCGGACCCAUGGAGGAAGAAAGUGACUCCCAACAUCGUUUUGUCGUUUUAAAAAGCAUGGUUGUUUAGGCUAAACGGAAUCAGCACACAAACAGUUAACCCCGUCUUCGAGAUUUUAACAUAGAUUAAACGUCGUGCUUAAAUCAGCAAAGUCAACGAAACUUAGCUAUUUUACAGAAAAGUCAACAUAAAUUUAGUGAUUAAAAUGAUUUCUCGAUAGAUUGGGAUUAAAUCAUCCCAAAUUUGAAAGUUCCGUAUUUUUUUGACAUUUUUCCCUAUUAUCUAUGGAGGAUAUUUAUUAAUAGUGAUAGAAAAUGUUGCUUGACUUUGGAACUCUUUUUGGGAGAUUUUGGAAUAUUUUCAGGUUAAAAUUUGUUCAAAGGUUUUUAAGAACGAAGGAUAGUCACAAAGGAACAGAGUCUAGUCUAUACAAUAUAUGUAAGUCGAACAUAACCAAAAUUCAUCAAUGCAAAUUCCAAAACCUAACUUUAUUAUAAUUUAAUAUAAGAAUUUAUACAUCGAAAUUAUUUGAACCAAAUUACAAAAUUCUUCAAGCUCGUCCCCUGUUUUUCUCUCUUUUUUUUUUUAAAUUAGGAUACAUAAUAAAAUUACAGAUUUUAACUUUUUAUUUUUGGAAUAAAAGAGUAUCAACACUUUGUAGUUUGUAUAUGCUGUAUGAGUUUGUAGUACAACACCCACCGCUCGUCCAUUAGCUUUUUCCAACGGUAGGACUGCGAAAUCUGUCUUUUGCAAACUCACAAUAACUCAUAGUAAAAUAUUGUAUAAUGUCUCUCAUUUGAAAGCACUGUUUUCUUAAACAUCAAAACUGUUACUCAGCAGCCAAGUAAGGCUAGUUGAUUCUGCAGAUUAAUAUUAUCAUUAAGGAAUACAGAGUAAGUAAAGUAUAAAUCAAUUUCAUCAAAUGUACUUCGUUUCUUCCCUGUUUUGAUUAGCAUUCAUAUUUAUUUUUUCAAAAUGUAUAGUUUGUUUAUGUUUUGGACUACGAUAUGUGAACUUUCAUCAUUUGGUUGUUUCAGUUCUUAUGUUGCUUUGUAAUUCGAGCCAAGUAAGGCUAGUUGAAUCUGCAGAUUAAUAUUAUCAUUAAGCAAUACAGAGUAAGUGAAGGAUAAAAUAAAACAGAGCAAGCAAACACAAAACCAGAGGUUCUGACUAUCAUGUCGAUGCUUUCAGUACCUUCAGUGUUCUUCAGACCUAAAGAAAGAGCAGAAGAGAGAAAUUUUUUGUGCCAGAAUCAUAUCAUUUAACGCUACCAGCAGUGGAAAGAGCAUGACUAUAGAGGAGACUGGUGCAAUGACCAUUACCUAGCAGUACAUGCAGUGUGCCACAUUGGCUAGCUGAGUUAGGGCCUAUGUUCUUCUCGGUCAAAGACUCAGAUACAUCGAUGUUGGAGCAUAAGAAGAAGCAGAAGGAAGAGAAAACAGCGAUCGAGGAAUAGAUGGAGAAACUGAGAAGAGAUCAGGCGGAGUCGGAGUUGAGAAGCAAANNNNNNNNNNNNNNNNNNNNNNNNNNNNNNNNNNNNNNNNNNNNNNNNNNNNNNNNNNNNNNNNNNNNNNNNNNNNNNNNNNNNNNNNNNNNNNNNNNNNACCAUAUUGUUGACAUGAUACAACAUAUAUCAGUGUAUAUAUGUAAACUCCAUGUUAGCAACAGCUUGGCACUGUGCCAACCUAACCGAAAACAAUCAACUGACCUGCAAUGAAAAAACCAUAAGCAGUUAGAUAAAUAUAUCACCAAAAUCAUUCAUUCAAAUCAUCCUAGUUCCUCCCCUGCGAGUGCUUAGACUUGCCUUUUUGCUUCUUUGAGCCUCCUGUGAAUGGUAUAGUACGAAUACUAACAAGCAAAAAUGCUAAAAGCAAAAGGAAAAGCUCAAAAUUUAAGCCAUACCAUCUGAAUCACUUCAUAGAUUUUGGAGUCACAACUUUUCGAUCAAGAAUGCAUCUUCCUCGCCCCCAUAAGCUGGUUUCACAUUUUCCCCAGUCAUAGGACUAACACAUUCCCAGCCAGCAUACCAUAGAGUUCAAAUGCCAUCUGCAAAAGCAUGAAAUAGAGUAGGAAGAGUAUAAACUACACAUUUAGGAAUGCAUAGCGAAAAAAUCAGUGUAUUAUUAAAAUCAAGCAUGCUAACCAUCUGUACUAAAAUGCUAAUUUUGUAAGGAAAACAAUAUCAAUCGAUAUUUUCUCAUCAAGCACAUAUAUACAAGUUUCGCCUUAAAAAACAAAAAUUAUUAGUGUGCUUGCAAGUUAUUAGCUUCUUAGCAGAAAUACAAACAACAAAAGAAUGAAACUUUCAAUGAUAAAGUUUGACAGUAAAGCAUAAUAUUAGCACUGGCGGAAAAGCAUAAAAAGAAAACAAGAAUCACGCACAAACUAUGGAAGACUCGCACAAAGAAACAUACAUGAUGAUAAAUGUAGCAGAGACACUCCGGCAUGAAUCUCAAGUUCGCUGCUUCACCCCAAGNNNNNNNNNNNNNNNNNNNNNNNNNNNNNNNNNNNNNNNNNNNNNNNNNNNNNNNNNNNNNNNNNNNNNNNNNNNNNNNNNNNNNNNNNNNNNNNNNNNNAUAGCUUGCGCUGUUGCAUUUCCUGCUGUAUAGUUGGCAACCCACAAGUAGAGCAUACAUUAAAACAUAUUCUCGACACCAGAGUUUGCUAAAACAUUUAGCCACAAACAAAAAAAUUUUAAUUCCUGCUCAUGAAAAAUACACAGAAACUCUUAGUUACUUUUGAAUAUAAUAUUUUUUCGAGUCAGUUCCUAAAAUUUCUGUUUAUGAUCAUAUUCUAAGCUACUCCUGCAGAAACUAUAUAUAAUUGAGUAUAGAUGUCUACAACUCCCUUACCAAAUACUACUCUUUCGACUAUUUCUUAUAGUUGUUGAAAAGUUUCUUCAUCACUUCUAUCAAUGCUUGAUCAUCCAACUGUGAGAGCACAAACAAACAGUGGGUAAAGUGUUGCUUCUAUUGUACUUUUUAGUUUGAAUUUUAUUAUCCUCUUUCGAUUUCAGUAAAGAUUAACAAAAAAAAAUUGGGGUUAUUCAAAAAGAUUUUGCUAGUUGCAGAGAAACUUACUGUUCCUUGCUUUGUAAUUCCAAUAAUCACUAUCAAUCAAUCACAAUUAUCUUAGAUAAUGAUAUGACAAUUAGGUUUUUCAAAGGUAAACACCAGCCAAGAUUCAACGCCAACAAAGUAAGACUUGUAAACUUACAUAUAUCAUCAACUUUUCAAAGUGAUAAUAUCCAGCAAAGACUCACACACAUGCAUCUUUAAGCAAGUCCAGUACCUGUCAAAGAAACAAGUAGACCAAGUGAGAGAUCGAGAUUCAAGUUUCCAUGUGAGCUUUGUCCUAACAAAACUGAUCAACCAGGAAUCUAAGAUGUUUUUAAUAGAAUUAACUGACCGAACAGCCNNNNNNNNNNNNNNNNNNNNNNNNNNNNNNNNNNNNNNNNNNNNNNNNNNNNNNNNNNNNNNNNNNNNNNNNNNNNNNNNNNNNNNNNNNNNNNNNNNNNCUAAUUUUGCUGUUACACAAUCUUGUAUAAAAUUAAAGCUUAUUAUUAAAGACGAAAAUGGCAUAAGGGUUUCUAACCUCCUCCAUCGAUUCCCAUCUCCGAAGCUCUCAUCAUCUCUGAACCUCCAAGAUUUGAUAUACCCCGCAUUCUCCGAUCUUCCAGUUGUCAUUAUGGCAUAAUGUGAACUCAAAGAGAAUCUCAGUGGAAGUCACAUCCUCUGCUUCAACUUCAAAUGUGUAGAUAUGCUUUGUUAAAAGUGGAUCUAUGAAAUGGCCGCAUAGUUUACACCGAACUUCGAGAUCAUUCUGUUUGUCCAUGAUCUUAAUAUAUACAUCCAUCCAACCAUGAUCAUAAACCGUUUCUUCAUUAGUUUUAACCAGCAUGAUGCAAGCCUUAAAUCUCAAAGAUUUAGGAAGAGACGACUCAUCCAACUUGAUUGUCAAGGAACCUCCAGCAGUAGCUCGGUGAUUGAAGCAGGCAGGCACUUGUGUACCUGGUAACAUCGCAUAUUUACAAGUCGAUGUGUGCAUGAUGAGGUCUCUGGCUUCUUGAUUCAAACUGAAGCAGUCAGACAGAUAUAUGGAUGGUUAAAGGAACAAUCGAGCCUCUCAAGGGAUUGACAAUUCUCUGCAUCUAUGUAAAAUAGGGAAUCUGAAAAUUGGGGGAGGGAUAUCAGAUUCUUGCAGUUGUGGAGUCUAAGUACUCUUAAACGAGACAUUAGUGGCAUUGAUAGAAGACGGAAGUUUCACAAGACUUGAACAAUUACCAAGAUCCAAUUCCUCAAGUUUAUUUGCAUUCCUAAGUGAGGGAAUCUCCACAAGAUUUAAGCAAUUAGAGAGGUCUAAUACCUCGAGAUUGGUCAAAUUGUCAAUAGGACAAGGGAUUUUCACCAGCUUUGAACAAUAAGAGAGACUUAGUUCCUUGAUAUUGGUUGCAUUCCCAAUAGAAGAAGAAAGCUCUUCAAGAUUUGAGCAACCUGAGAGUUUUAAUUUUUGAAGAUUGGUCAAAUUCUCAAUAGAAGAAGGGAUUUUCACCAGCUUUGAACACUUAGAGAGAUUUAGUUCCCGGAGAUUGGUUGCAUUCCCAAUAGAAGAAGGAAGCUCCACUAAAUUCAUUUAGAUUAGUGGCAUUGAUAGAAGACGGGAGUUUCACAAGACUUGAGCAAUUACGAAGAUCCAAUCUUUCGAGUUUAGUUGCAUUCCCAAUAGAGGGAAGCUCCAAAAGAUUUGAGCAUCCAGAGAGGUCUAAUUCCUGGAGAUUGGUUGCAUUCUCGAUAAAAGAAGGGAUUUUCACAAGGUUUGAGCAAUAAGAGAGAUUUAGUUUCUGGAGGUUGGUUGCAGUCCCAAUAGAACCAGGAACCUCCAAUAAACUUGAGCAUCCUUGGAGAUUUAACUCUUCAAGAUUAGUGGCAGUUGAAAGAUCAGGAAGUGCUUUCAAAUCUUUAGAAUAAGACAAAUCCAUCCACCUAAGAUUUUUAAAUUGCUGCAUUGACACACACAAUAAGAAAAUGUUGACACGAUUGCCUUAUAAAAUUGUAGUUUGUUAACUAUACUAAGACAUUUGUACGGAAACGAACCAUAGAUAUUAAAAAAUGGUUUUGAAAAUUGAAUUUUUAAAAUCAAAAUUACUUACUUUGGUUCUUUCCCAAAGCUUCUCAAGCUCUAGAAGACUUGAGCAAUAAGAGAGAUCUAGUUCCUCAAGUUUAGUUGCAUUCCCAAGUGAAGAAAGCUCCAUAAGACUUGAGCAAUUACUUAGCUUUAAGUCAAAUUCUCAAUAGAAGAAGAGAUUUUCACCAGCUUUGAGCAAUAAGAGAGAUUUAGUGUCUCGAGAUUGGUCAAAUUCUCAAUAGAAGAAGGGAUUUUCACCAGCUUUGAACACUUAUAGAGAUACAGUUUCCGGAGAUUGGUUGCAUUCCCAACAGAAGAAGGAAGCUCCACUAAACUUGAGCAUCCUUGGAGAUUUAACUCUUCAAGAUUAGUGGCAGUUGAAAGAUCGGGAAGCUCUUUUAGAUCUUCAGAAUUAGACAAAUUCAUCCACCUGAGAUUUUUAAGUUGCUGCAUUGACAAAAUAAGAAAAUAUUGACAUGAUUGGCUUAUAAAGUUGGAGUUUGUUAAACAAAUUCUAGAAAUAUUAGUAAAGGUUUUGAAAAUUAAUUUUUUAAAAAAUUCAUAUUUACUUACUUUAGUUCCUUCCCAUAGUUUUUGAAGCUUGCUGGAACUCAUACAUAGUUCGACGAGAAACUCGGGAUUAAAAGUUGAUGGCAAACAUGUAUUCUGGAAAUAAAUCCAAUCUACUAAUCUAAUAUUUUGAGGAUAAUGAAGCAGUGAAUGCAGUCUCUCAGCCUGAGCAAGGUCCAUACCAUUGAUUCUUACAAAUUNNNNNNNNNNNNNNNNNNNNNNNNNNNNNNNNNNNNNNNNNNNNNNNNNNNNNNNNNNNNNNNNNNNNNNNNNNNNNNNNNNNNNNNNNNNNNNNNNNNNCAACAUCAUAACUUACUGUUGUAUCAUUGCUAAGCUCUUCACAUAUAUCUCUUGCAUCGACUAAAAGAUAAUGUUCCCUAAGGCCAUGCUGAACAAAUUUUUUACGUGAAGUUUCUCUUCCAAAUUGCUGUAGCAGAUGAUGCAUUUGUAUCCCUCCGUAUUCUAUAGAUAUGAGAGCUUUUUCAGCUAAAACUUCAAGACCUUGCCUCACAUCCGAGAACUUCUUUGACAGAAUCUCUUCCACAUUACGUGGAUAUAAGAACUUGUCGCUGAAAAAGCAGGCUAUAUAAAGAAAUAAGUAUUUGUUUUCUUCAUCAUCUAAGGCAUCAUAACUGAACUUCAUAAUGCUCUCUAUUUCUCCAUUAAGCUUGGUCUUUAACCUUGGUAGUUUCCUUUCCCACUCUGGCUUGGACUUUCCUUUCAAAGUGGAGCCUAGAAUCUUCAAACCCAAAGGGAGUUCACCAGCAAGGCAUGCAACUUCCUUAGCAAGCUCNNNNNNNNNNNNNNNNNNNNNNNNNNNNNNNNNNNNNNNNNNNNNNNNNNNNNNNNNNNNNNNNNNNNNNNNNNNNNNNNNNNNNNNNNNNNNNNNNNNNAUCUGGGUGCUUGUGUCCAAAGGCAUGCAUACAAAAGAUUUGAAAAGCCUCAUCACUUGUUGGAAAAUUCACUGCGUAAAUAUGAUUGAUCUUAAGAGCUUUAAGAACUCUUAGAUCUUCUGUUAUGAUUAUAAUCCGACUUCCAGGACCAAACCAUCGGGUUUCCUUCGCCAAGGCAUACACUUGUCCUAACUGAUCUACUUCAUCAAGAACGAGACACACUUUCUUUUCUUUCAACCAUUCUUGGGCCAUUCCUAAAUGAGAAAUCUUGAUAUCUUUCUGAUUCAUCAUUUGAGACAACAUUUGUUUUUGAAGUUGCAACUGCGCACUAUACUCAUCCGAACAAGAUCUCGGAUAGGGAUAGCUUCUUCUAAUAUCAACCAUGAUUGCACUAAGUUGGAAUCUGCUGGAGAAUCGGUCUAACAUAAAUCUAGCAAUGGUUGUCUUACCUAUACCAGGCGGACCCCAAAUCCCGAUUAUCUUUACCUCAUCCAAAUCUAGGCUUAACAAUUGCUCUAUCCUUUCCAUGUGAGCUUCCAUCCCAACUAAACCAUCAAAAUCUCUUGACGGUGUCGAGUUAUUCAACAUGUUUGAAAUAUCAGUGGCUAACUUUUCGAUCAUGGCCGCUUCAUUGACCCUAACAUUGGAAGAUAUUAACAUAACUAGUUCAAGCAAUAGUCUAGUCAUGAAAAAUUCUCAUACAUAUAGAUCCUAAAGAUAUAUAAUUUAUGUAUUUUGAUAUAUUUAAAAGGGAAAAAGCUUAAAAAUACCUCAUCUAUUUUUUAUUUGCAUGUUUAAUACAUGAUCUUUUUUGGUUGGAAAAAUAAUACCCAAAAUAAUAAAAAUGUGCAAUUUAAUACCUAAACUAUUAAAUAUUGAAAUUUUCCUAUAUUUUGAAUUAAAUCUAUAAAUUAAUGAUACAAUGAAAUAAUACUAGCAAAUAUUUUUCUUCCAAUAAAAUUGUAAUUAAUUUCAUGUCAUUUAUGCACUAUUUAAUAUUUUAGGUAUUAAAUUACACGUUUUUAUUAUUUUGAGUAUUAUUCUUCCAACCUAAAAAGAUCGGGUACCAAAUAAAAAAUAAAUGAGGUAUUUUUAAAGGCUACAAAUUAACAUAGUUUGAACUUUGAACUCUAACUCUUAAGGAGAGUAUAAAUCAAGAGGACAUACCAUUGGUGAAAAUGAUAUCCGGCGAUUGUGGCCACAUCUUCCAACGCUUUUCUCCAUAUCCCAGUGCGCUCUUUUGUUUUACCUUUACAAGUUUUUAUGAAGGCUUCUCCAAAAUUCCCCGUCUGCUUCUUUACUUCAGUUGGUUCUACUUCAUAGAAAAUAGUCAUGACUAUUUUACCCAACUCUUCCCUGCAUUUCAUGAUCUCUGCCAACUCAUCAAGACACCACGAAGAAGAAGCAUAGUUCUUGGAGAGCAAGACGAUCGCGAUCUUUGAUCCUUUGAUAGCUUCUUUGAGCUCAGGGCCGAUCGACUUGCUCCUCAGUAUAUCAUUAUCAAUGAAUGUGUCGAUUCCCUUUCUCUUGAAUGAUUCCAGGAUGUGACUAAGAAAGUUGCUUCGGACGUCUGCCCCGUGGAAGCUUGGGAAGACAUGGUAUUUCCAGUUUCGAGACACAGAAGACGAUAUAUUAUCUUUGCUGUCUUGUUGGAAUCUGAAUUUUGUAUAAACACUCGCUGCAACUGCGUCAAAAAGGAAAAAACAAAAAAUCAUUUGUAUGAUAAAAACAGGAUCAAGAAUUUUGAUAGAUAUAGAAAAUAUUAAAAAGAAUUCAUUAGUAUGAUAAAAACAGAAUCAUGAAUUUUGAUAGAUAUAUGUAAAGGUUAACAGACCGUUGGCACAGAAACUCAAAGGACGUUUCCAAGAAAUCUCAUCAUCGUUAGUUGAGCAUAUCUUUUGUCUUUUAACAGAUUCGGUUUCCACGUCGUCCGGACUCGUAGCUUUCCUCUUGUUACAGCUCAAACUCAUUACAGAACCCAUUGAUGGAAUUAAGAAGUUUCACACUGCAGCGAUCAUUUGUUCCGACAAUUAGGUGAAAAUUUUGAAUAAAACAAAGAAACCUAAAAGUUAAAAACCAAGAACACAUAAUCAAGAACUGGUCUCAAAACACUAAUCGAAAACAAAGAAACCAUCAAGAUUACCAUAAUCAUCAAGAACCAGUCCAGUUACUUCGAUUACAGAGUGAUUCAACCUUAAGUAAAAAUUAAAAAAAAAAUAAAACAGUAUAAAAUGUUGGAGUUUAGUUGAGACAGAGAAGAGUAAGAAAAUCUCACCGAUGCAAUAAAAAAAAAGACAGAGAAAUCUCCAAAGAGGUUGUUGAAACAAUUGCUGUGUGAAUGAGAGGAUGUAAGACCAUUCGUUGACGACACUUUUUGCGUACAGUGGAUGUUUCCUUGAAAAUAUCAGUGAGAGAUUUUGUGGAAAAUGUUUGCUAACGAUCACACCUACUACUUCCACUAAUUCCACUAAUCAUUUACUAAUGCAAGUUGACAUUGUGAUUAGUCAUCGAGUGUCUUUAAAUUAAUAAUCUUUGAUGUAUUAUUUAUGGAGGAUAUUAAAUAAUAAUGUUGUUUGACUGUGGUAUUCUUUUUGGGAGAUUUUGGAAUAUUUUUCAUUGAAUUUUCAGGUUAAGGUUUGUUCAAAGGUUUUUUAAGAACGAAAGGAAUCAAGGAUAGUCACAAUGGAACAGAGUCUAGACUAUAUAUAUAUAUAUAAGUCGAACAUAACCAAAAUUCAUCAAUGCAAAUUCUAAAACCUAAUUUAUUUAAAAAUAUAAAUUACAUAUAAAUUACACCUACUACUUCCACUAAUUCCACUUUUUCUAAUGCAAGUUGACUUUAAAUUUAACGCUUACUAAAUUAGGAUACAUAAUCAAAUUUCUCUCUUUUUUUUUUUAAUUAGGACGCUGCAAGGGAGAAUAUUUUUUGUCCAGAAUGAGAUCAUUUAACGCUACUGAACGUGGAAAGAGCAUGACUAAUCAAACAAAAUUAUAUUUUGGUUUGGGUUGAAAAAUUAGUGGCUAGGGUUUAAAUUUUCUAAUCAAACAAAAUUAUAUUUCGGUUUGGAUUGACAAAAUAGUGGUUAUGAUUUAUACUCCCUUUGUUUCUAAAAGAGUGAUGUUGUAGAAGAUUUUUUUUUUGUUUCUAAAAGAUUGAAUUUUAUUUAAUAUAUUUAUUAUUUUGAGAAAAAGAGAGAAUGAAACAAAAAUGAUGAAAUGUAUAACGAUUGGAUCUCUUACAUAGAAUAGAGCAAAAGUAAAAGUAAUAUUAACUAAAAGAAAAAGAAACUAAUUAUAUAAUUAUAUAAUUUUUCUUUCUUAAUAAGUGUGAAAAAUACUAAACAUCAAACUAUCAGAAACAGAAAGAGUAUUUUCUAAUUAGAUGAAAUUAUAUUUCGGUUUGGGUUUAUAAAAGACUGGUUAAGGUUUGUUUUAUUUUUUGAUUUAUUUUUUAAAUAUAAUACGACAUGACAUAUUGUUUUAUUUUGAUUGGCUAGUCAAUAAAAAGUGAACAAGGGGUGAACCCAAGUAUUGCUCGAUGUUGUUUAAAGUAGUCGCAACGAUCAUAUUAACUGUCGCCGUUUUUUUUGGCGAUGAAUGGUCACACCGGCGACAUAUGUAAAUGUAGUCGCAGCGACUGUUUUCUCUUUCACCACCGCUUAUUUGGUCACAAAACACGCUAAAUUUUUGGUCGCAAGGAAUAAACGCAACGAUCACGUAGGCCUUAUUUAUUAUUGAGCUUAUAGGUAGGACUGUACAGUUGUAUACGAAUAUUACACCGAUUAAAACAGAGUGGUCUUCUAAAGUUUCUGAGGAAGAGAAAAAUACUUGUACGUUGUAAGUUAUGAAUUAUCCUUGUAUUAUCUUUUAGAGUACGUAGUUUCAUCACCAAGGUACAAGGUCUGUCUUAUUUCUAGUAACCUCAACGUCUCAUCUACUUUUGCCCACUGUCGUGUCGACGAAACGGCCAGGCCUUCUCUUCUUUAAAGAAAACAUUUCUGUUUUCUUCUUACUUCUUAGGUCACUUAUAUGAAUCACUCUUGACGUUUCUGUUUAUCAAUACCAUAUAUGGAUAAUGGAUGUGAAUACGAGUUUGCUAAUACAGAUCUUCACAUAAAUCAAUUUCAUCAAAUGUACUUUGGCUCUUCCCUAUUUUGAUUUGCAUUCAUAUAUUUUCAAAAAUUGUAUAGUUUAUUCAUGUUUUGGGAUACGAUAUGUGAACUUUCAUCAUUUGUUUGUUUCAGUUCUUAUGUUGCUUUGUAAUUCGAGCCAAGUAAGUCUAGCUAGUUGAAUCUGCAGAUUAAUAUAUCAUUAAGCAAUACAGAGUAAGUGAACGAUAAAAUAAAACAGAGCAAGCAAAACAAAACCAAAACUUUCUGCAGAUGCGUCUAUUAAGAGAAUCAAAUUUCCAUGUGAGCUUAGUCCCAACAAAACAGAUCAACCACGCAUUUACAAAACUUAAAAAAAGUAGUGAUACAUGAAACUGUUUUCAAUAGAACUAACUGAGAGAACAGCCUGACUAGUGACUAGAACAGCCUGACUGGUGACUAGAACAGCCUGACUAAUGAUAGAGAGCUUGAAUGGACAGACUCAUUAAGAGCUAACUGUUUUGCAUAAACGACCGAGCUAACUAUUAGGGAUACAAUAUCCCACAUUGGAAGUUGAGUAGGAUCCUGACUAGUAUAUAAGAUAUAUGGGCCUGCCCCAGACGACUUCUGUUUCCUCAUAUGUUCUCUUGUGUUGCUUGGUUGAUCAAUCAGAAUCGCAGUCGCACAAUAUUAAGAUUUUUGUUUCUUUUGUUUGUUUUAGAAUCUUUCAUUUUUGUAAAAUUUGCGUGUGAUGCACAUGUUAUAUAUAUAUAUAUAUAUAUAUAAAGUUACAUUUCCUCUCUUCUCCUUCCGCCACAUCAGCGCCACAUCAUCCGCCACAUCAUCAACUUAAAAAAAAAAAUUCAAAAGGGCAUGGACUUGAGGCCCAACGGUUACACAACAAUCAAACCGGUUAAAAAAGAUCGAGAAAACGUUAGAUACACAAAUUUAGAACUAGAUAGUUAAACGUCGGAUACAACAAUCAAACCGAUAGAGGAUAGAUCGGAAAAACAUCUAUUAGAACCGUUGUUUACAAGAGCAACUCCUUUGCAGCAAUGCUCCGAUUGAAACUAUUAGCGAGGGUACAUAGAUUUAAGCAUAGGAAGAAACCAAAAACAAGCCAGAUUCUAGAACAUUUUAAUGUAAUAGAUCAAAAGUAGACACCGGAAACAUUAUCUCUCUAAUCUCACACCUAGCGAAAUGAGAGAAUACCGCAGAAAGUUGCUCUCGACCUCUGGCGAAUAGCAAAUAACAAUAAACAUUUUAAGUAUUAAACUAAUACAAAUUUUUUUUUUUUUUAAGUAAUUCAUGUGAAUUUAGAAUAGCAAAAAUGAUAACGGUAAAAAACCAACAAAAAAAUGUAAAAAAUAAUAUAAUAUAAAUUAUAAAUUUUCCGCGCGCAGCGCGGAUCAACAACUAGUUAUGUUAUAUAAAUGACUUUUAGAAAAUUCUGAACUUUUAAGGAGAUGUUGGAUGCAUUGAACCAACUAGAAGAAGGGCUAAAAGACAAGAUCAAGGAAAUUAAGUUCCUUCGAAAAGUAUAAGCAAGAGAUUCUUCUUGGCCAUCUUGACUGGAAUCCAAUACACAAAGAGGCCAAUUUCUGGCGUGAGAAUGUCACAAGCUUUGAAGAGAUUGACUUCCAGGUAUUACUUCUUUAAACCUGUCUGGUCCUCCUAAUCACGUUUUAAUACUUGUCUGGAUGAAGAUACUCAGGGCCCUCCACACGAUUCUGGACACGUCGAUUGAUCCAAGAUCAUUGGCGGUGGCAUGCUUUGAUCUCUCACAUUCAUACAGUACCACGCAGUGUUACAGACCUCAAGGCAAAAGAACAAGUGUGAAACUGAUGAACCACGACAACACUGAGGUCACCAAGAUACUAAUCAAAAUGUUACAAAUAUUUCUAUUUAGCUAUUUAGGAAAUUAUAAAGUGUUGCUAUUUUCUUAUUUACUUUUCUCUUAGGGUUUUACUUCUACGUUUUAUUAUAUAUAGAGAUGAAGUCUAGUUGUAAGACUCGUCCAAGCUAGAGAGUGCUUUCUAUUGGGUUAGGCCGAGGGAAGAGAACUUAAGGAGAGUAUUGAGUUUUAUUUCUGGUUCGUGACUAUUCUUAUCUAACACAAAACCACACAAUUCCUGUAUAAUGUUGAAUAAUUAUUUCUCAUUCUUGGAUCAAACAAAUAAAAACAUGAAUUUCAAAAGUCUAAACAACUCUUCACUAGCUCGCACCAAAACCCUAAAAACAAAAUCCCAAAAACAUCAUUCACUAAUCAAAAUACCAAUUUCAAAAGUCGCUACAGCUCCCCGGUGUUUGAAUCAAACACGAAUUUCUUAUACUCAUGCCUUUUAGAUUCUUCCUUCUGCUACUCGAUUCUAUUUUCACGGUCUUUGUUUGUAUAGAUCUCCUUUAUCUGCAAUUAAUUUCAAUAAAACAUAACAUUACACAAUAUUCUAAUCUCCCCCAUCGAUGCUCAUCUCUGAAGCUCUCAUCUUGUUCAUUAACGUUAAGGAACCUCCAAGAUUUGAUAUACCCCGCAUUCUCCGAUCUUCCAUUUGUCAUUAUAGCGUGAUGUGAACUGAAAGAGAAGCUCGGUGGAAGUCACAUCCUCUGCUUCAACUUCAAAUGUGUAGAUAUGCUCUGUUAAAACUGGAUAUAUAAGACGACUUAUUGGUGUACACCGAACUUUGAAAUCAUUCUGUUUGUCCAUGAUUUCAAUCCAUAUAGAACAACGAUCAGCACCUGUUUCUCCAAUAAUAUUAAGCAGCAUGAUGCAAGCCUUAAAUCUCAAAGAUUUAGGAAGAGGCGACUCAUUCAACUUGAUUGUCAAUAAACCUCCAGCAGUAGCUCGGUGAUUGAAGCAGGCAGGCACUUGUGUACUUGGUAACACCGCAUAUCCAGAAGUGGAUGUGUGCAUGAUGAGAUCUCUGGCUUCUUGAUUCAGUUUGAAGCAAUUUCUGAAACUCAGAUGGAUCUGUGGAUGGUUAAAGGAACAAUCCAAUCUCUCAAGGCAUUGACAAUUGUCUGCAUCUAUGCAAGAUAGAGAAUCUGAAAAUUGGGGGAGUGAUACCAGAUGAUUGCAGUUGUCGAGUCCAAGUAUACGUAAACGAGGCAUUCCCUUGACACAUGGAGGAACUUCUUGUAUAUCUUCGUUUAUCAACUGCAGCUCCGUGAUGACGUCAAGAGCAUGCGGGAAUUCCUUGAGGCUUACAAAGUAUGACAUACAGAAAUGAGAAAGACCAGAGCACGACAUGAUCGACAAAGGAACUUCUUUUAUUGAUGUUCCUGUGAGCCACAGAGACUUAAUGUUUGUGGAGAUCUCAGGAAAACUUUUCAACUGCGAGCAGUCUCUGAGAUUAAGUUCACUGAGAGAUUUCAAGUUGAUGUUGGUUGGAAGAGCCUCUAGCUUUGAGCAUCCUCUCAAUGUCAACGAAGACAAUCGCUGAAGGUUCCCUAUAGAGGAUGGAAGCUCCACCAGAUUUGAGCAGUUAGAUAGAUCCAAAUCUUCGAGAUUAGUGAGAUCUCCAAUAGAGGAGGGGAGAUUCACGAGACUUGAGCACCCUCUCAUUUCCAAUCUCUUAAGGUUUGUGGCAGUUCCAAUAGAAGGAGGGAGCUCUAGUAGACUUGAGCAAUUAUUGAGAUUCAAUAUCACAAGUUUAGUCGCAUUCUCGAUAGCAGGUAGCUCCAAAACACGUGAACAAUUUUGUAGAAGCAAUCUCUUGAGAUUAGUGGCAUUUAUAGAAGACGGGAGUUUCACAAGACUUGUGCAAUCACAAAGAUAUAACUUCUUGAGUUUAUUUUCAUUCCCUAUAGAGGAUGGAAACUCCACCAGAUUUGAGCAGUUAGAUAGAUCCAAAUCUUCGAGAUUCUCAAUAGAAGAAGGGAUUUUCACUAGCUUUGAGCACCUAGAGAGAUUUAGUUCCUGGAGAUUGGUUGCAUUCCCAAUAGAAAAUGGAAGCUCCACUAAACUUGAGCAUCCUUGGAGAUCUAAAUUUUCAAGAUUAGUGGCAGUUGAAAGAUCGGGAAGCUCUUUCAGAUCUUUAGAAUCAGACAAAUCCAUCCACUUGAGAUUUUUAAGUUGCUGCAUUGACAGUACACUAAGAAAAUGUUGAUACGAUUGGCUUAUAAAGUUGGAGUUUGUUAAACACUAGAAAUUUUUACAGAAACAAACUAUAGAAAUAUUAGAAAAGGUUUUGAAAAUUACUUUUAAAAAAAUCAAAAUUACUUACUUUAGUUCCUUCCCAUAGUUUUUGAAGCUUGCUGGAACUCAUACAUAGUUCGACGAGAAACGCGGGAUUAAAAGUAGAUGGCAAACAUGUAUUCUUGAAAUGACUCCAAUCUACUGAUCUAAUAUUUUGAGGAUAAUGAAGUAGUGAAUGCAGUGUCUCAGCCUGAGCAAGGUUCUGACCAUUGAUUCUUACGAAUUGGAGAUCAAACAUUCUUUCAAGUGCUUUCUCCUUUGUGUUUAAUUCUUCCUCAUUAUUAGAUAAAUCAAAAUUUAUGCCUAUAAAACGCCUAUUAUCCUGAAAAAAUAAAUAUAAUUAGAUAUGGCUAGUUAUAAAAUAAAGUUAAUUGGUAAAGAGCAAUAUUACUACAACAUAACUUACUGUUGUAUCAUUGUUAAGCUCUUCACAUAUAUCUCUUGCAUCGACCAAAAAAUAAUGUUUCCUAAGGCCAUGUUGAACGAAUUGCUUACGUGAAGUUUCUCUUCCAAAUUGUUGUAGUAGAGGAUGCAUCUGUAUCUUUCCGUAUUUAAUAUAUAUGAGAGAUCUUUCAGCUAAAACGUGAAGACCUUGCCUCACAUCCGAAAAAGUCUUUCGAAGAAUCUCUUCCACUUUAUGUUGAUGUACGGCUUCACCAUUAAAAAAGCAGGCUAUAUAAAGAAAUAAAUAUUUAUAAUUAUCAUAAUAUAAAGCCUCGUAACUGAUCUUUAUAAUGCUCUCUAUUUCUCCAUUAAGGUUGGUCUUUAACAUUGGUAGUAUCCUUUCCCACUCUGCCUUGGGCCUUCCUUUCAAACUGGAGCCUAAAAUCUUCAGUCCCAAAGGGAGUUUACCAGCAAGGUUGGCAACUUCUCUAGCAAGCUCAUAGAAGCCAUCAUCUGGGUGCUUGUGUCCAAAGGCAUGCUUACAAAAGAUUUGAAAAGCCUCCUCACUUAAUGGAAAUUUCACUUUGUAAAUAUGAUUGACCCCAUGGGCGUUCAAAACUCCUCUAUUUUCUGUUGUGAUUAUAAUCCGACUUCCAGAACCAAACCACUGAAUUUUUUCCGCCAAGACUUGUAGCUGACUUAAGCAAUCCACAUCAUCAAGAACGAGUAACACUUUCUUGUCUUUCAACCGUUCUUGUGCCACUCCUAGAUGAGGAAUCAUGUUAUCUUUAAGAUUAAUAGUCUUAGAUAACAAAUCGCUUUGUAGUUGCAAUUGUGCGCUAAAGUCAUUCAAACGAACACUUGGAUAGCUUCUUUUGAUAUCAAACAUGAUCGCACUAAAUUGGAAUUUGUUGGCUACUUGGUCAAACAUAAUUCUAGCGAUUGUUGUCUUACCAAUCCCAGGCGGCCCCCAAAUCCCGAUCAUCCUUACUUCAUCCAAAUCUAGACGUAAUAAUUGUUCGAUCAUUUUCAUAUGAGCUCCCAUCCCUACUAAAUUGUCAAUAUCACUUGAAGGUAUGGAGCAAUUUAAUAUGUUUGAAACACCAGUGGCUAUGUUUUCGAUCAUGUCUGCUUCGUCAGUCCUAACAUAAGAGGAUAUUAACAUAAAUCUAUCAAAUAGUCUAGUCAUGAAAAAUUCUCAAUACAUACAGAUCCUAAAGAUAUGUAAGUUAUGUGUCUUGAUGAUACUUUUAAAAGCUACAAAUUAAACAUAGUUUGAAAUCUUACUCUAAGUAAAUAUUAAUUAAGGAGAAUAUAAAUCAAGAGGACAUACCAUUUCUGAGAAUGAUAUCCGGCGAUGGUGGCCACAUCCUCCAAUGCUUUUCUCCAUAUCUUAAUAUGCUCUUUUUUUUUACCUCUACACGUUUUUCUGAAGGAUUUUCCAAAAUCACCCGUUUGUUUCUUUAUGUCAGUUGGAUCCACUUCAUAGAAAAUAGUCAAGACUAUUUGACCCAACUCUUUCCAGCAUUUCAUGAUCUCUGCCAACUCAUCAAGACACCACGAAGAAGAAGCAUAGUUCUUGGAAAGUAAGACGAUCGCGAUCUUCGAUCCUCUAAUAGCUUUUAUGAGCUCAGGACCAAUCGGCUUACUCCUCUCUAUCUCAUCAUCAAUGAAUGGGUCGAUUCCCAUUCUCUUGAACACUACAAGGAUAUGACUAAGAAAGGUUCUUCGGACAUCUGGUCCGUGGAAGCUCGGAAAGACAUCGUGUUUCCAAAUUUGAGACACAGAAGUUGAAGGAGAUGAAAGGGAUAAAGUAGAUAUAUUAUCUUUAUCAUCUAGUUGGAAUCUGAAUUUUGUAAAAACACCCGUUGCGACUGAGUCAAAGAGAAAUAGAAUUCAUUAGUAUGAUAAGGACAUGAUCAAGAAUUUUUAUAGAUGGAGGAAAGAUUAACAUACCGUUGAUGACUCUGGUUGCACAGAAACUCAAAGGAUGUUUCUUCCAAGAAAACUCAUCUUGAAGAAUCAAUUUGCCAUUCUCAACAUCGUUGGUUGAACUUGAGCACACCUUUUGUCUUUUAACAGAUUCGGAUUCAACGUCCUCCUGACUCGUAGCUUUCCUCUUGUUACUGCUCAAGCUCAUUACAGAACCCAUAGAUGUUUCACUGUAACAAUAAAUAAUUCCCACAAUUAGGAGAAUAAAUGAAUAAAACAAGAAACCCAAAAGUUAAAAUCAAGAACACAUAAUCAAGAACUGGUCUCAAAACACUAAUCGAAAACAAAGAAACCAUCAAGAUCAACAUAAUCAUCAAAAACCAGUCCACUCAAUUCGAUUCCACAGUGAUUAAACCUUAAGUAAGAGACAAAUCGGGACAUGAAAAUCUUACCAAUGCAAUAAAAAGACCGAGAGAUCUUCAGGACUUGGAAGAAUCACACUUUGUUGUUGAAACAAUUGUUGUGUGAAUCUGAGAGUAAAUAGACUUUUUUCGUUGACGACUCUUUUUGCACAUAAACUCAAUGGAUGUUUCCUGGAAAAUAAGGUUAGAUUUCGUGGAAAAUGUUGCUAACGACAAAACCACUGUCCAAAGGCUCCACCACCAUUCUCUUAACCAAACAAUGAUAAGGGAAAAUUCAAACUGUUAUCAUCUCAAAACAACAACACCUCACUCACGUCCACACAUUCUUAUUUUCUCUUUUUAUCUCCUAAUAUUAAUGAAUGAUAGUUCAGUUUAAAGAAUAUCUUCUUAAGAAUAUGUUCAGUUUUAACAAUGAUUUACAAAGAAUAAUAAAAGAUGUCAAAAGAUGUCAAAAGAUUCAAGCUUCGCAUCAUUUCUCUCAUACUCUUACAUUAUUAAGCUAUAAAUCUCAAUAAUUGAAAAAACAUAAUAAGUGGGACUCUGAACUUUCCAAGGUAAUUACUGUCCAGCAAAGACUCACCAGUUUCCUUGGUAGUGACAAUUGCAUAUUUUGACGUAGAUAUAAAAGUGGCUAUGCAACUUCAGAUGCUUACUAGUUACUAGGGAACGUAGCUUCUCUUCUUUUUUUUUUUUUAAAAACACAAUUUCUUGUUUCUUACGUCUCUUAUGAACAAUAUACUCUCAGCUACCCGCUGACUUGCAAGCACAAAUUUUCCAGAAACUGGAAGAUGCAUUGCUGCCACCAAUAUUGCUGCCACCAAUAUUUCUUCUCAGCCCGUAAAUGCAUUGUUGCCACCAAUAUUGCUGAAACAUCAUUGACAGUCGCUGGAAUAUAUUAUGUGAUUGACUAUCGUGUCGAUGCUUUCAGUACCUUCAGUGUUCUUCAGACCUAAAGAAAGAGCAGAAGAGAGUGACGCUGCAAGGGAGAUUUUUUUUUUGUACCAGAAUGAGAUCAUUUAACGCUACUAACUGUAUACCAGCAGUGGAAAGAGCAUGACUAUAGAGGAGACUGGUGCAAUGACCAUUACCUACAAGUCUAAGGUCUGAGAAAAGCUAGAGAGGUCAGAUCCCAGCUUCUAGAUAUCCUCAAAGCAACUAAAGAUACCACUUACGUCGUGUGGACCGGAUUGGGAUAUUGUGAGAAAAUGCAGUGUGCCACAUUGGCUAGCUGAGUUAGGGCCUAUGUUCUUCUCGGACAAAGACUCAGAUACAUCGAUGUUGGAGCAUAAGAAGAAGCAGAAGGAAGAGAAAACAGCGAUGGAGAAACUGAGAAGAGAUCAGGCGGAGAACAAUCUUGUAUUCUAACUGUAAUCUAACUUGAAGCAAACUGUAAUCUAACUUGUAUCUCUGUUUUAAGAUGUUUCUCAAUUGAGAACAAUCUUGUAUUGAGUUCUUUUUCGCUAAUUUGUUAGUUAGAAAUGCACUUCAAUUCUAAUAUAGCAAAGUUUUGGACUGAAUUUUCCAAUGUGGAAUUUGUAAUUCUCUUCCACUCGAAAAUAUGCAAAGUACAAAAUGGGUGAAGUAAUAGUUUACAUUAGUAAUAGUUCGUAGUCUGCUCCAUCUCAACCAAAUAAGUAGAGUUUUUUGCACAUCAUCUCAUCUCUGCAAAACAUUCACAUUUAUAUGAAGUCUUUUGUGGAUUUUACAAUGCUUAAGCCCCUAAUUUCCAAAUCCAGUUACUGGAGUUGUUAUGUGGCACACAAAUGUCAUCAAAUCCAUACAAGUUUCGAAAUCUCCCUCUCAUCAAUUCACAUUUCGCCACCACCAUCUACAACAUCUUAUAAGCAAGUCUAAUGCUUCGGCUCCAUCAUCUCUGCAUUUAAACCACAGCCACAUUAUUAACAAAACACAUUGAUCCAAAGAGCAGACAAAAGAUGCCAACCUGAGGAGAUUUUUAGAAGGGCCCUAUCAAAAUAUUACCGCUUUCUCCGUCUGAUAUUUCUUCAAGCUUUGCGAUUGCAUCCAUAAGAAGAGUUCAUGAUCCUAGAGUAACACAAAUGAACAUGACAUAGCAAAUAUAACAGUAAAAAUAAAUUUGGCACAAGAUGUAUGUUUUCUAAAGGCAGAGCCAUUUAACUAAACUUUAUACAAUACAAAUUUAUUCAGCUUUUACUAAGAAAAUCAGUACAAAUUUCAGCAUUUAGCAGCACCUUCUGGACGGGCUUAUCUAACACGCGUGAAUAUUUUCAACGACAUAGCAAAUUGCAGAAUCAACAAUUUGAAACAAGCUAAGUGUUAUAUUGCUUUGCAUUACCUGGUCCAUAUUCUGUGCUAGGCUAGAAUGAUCAGUAAACUUAGGCACCUUUACCAAUACAGAAUAAUAAUACACUUUCUGGUUCCCUUUCGUUGGCUUGUUUUUUACUGGUUCUUCCACCUCAGAUCAAUGUUUGCAACGCGGAGAGAUCAGGUAUCUGCCAAUUGUAAGCAAAGCCAUAAGUUCAAAACAAGUUAACAAAUGACAAGAAAAUAGGAUUGUUCUGCAUACCUCGUCAAUCAUAAGCCUCAAUAUAUCAUGCGCACGAGGUUCACCAGAUCGUUUAUGGAUACCAUAUUGUUGACAUGAUACAACUUAUGUAAACUUCAUGUCAGCAACAGCUUGGCACUGUGCCAACCUAACCGAAAACAAUCAACUGACCUGCNNNNNNNNNNNNNNNNNNNNNNNNNNNNNNNNNNNNNNNNNNNNNNNNNNNNNNNNNNNNNNNNNNNNNNNNNNNNNNNNNNNNNNNNNNNNNNNNNNNNNNNNNNNNNNNNNNNNNNNNNNNNNNNNNNNNNNNNNNNNNNNNNNNNNNNNNNNNNNNNNNNNNNNAAAGCUCAAAAUUUAAGCCAUACCAUCUGAAUCACUUCAUAGAUAUUUUGAAGUCAAAACUUUCCGAUCAAGAAUGCAUCUUCCUCGCCUCCAUAAGCUGGCUUCACAUUCUCCCCAGUCAUAGGACUAACACAUUCCCAGCCAGCAUACCAUAGAGUUCAAAUGCCAUCUGCAAAAGCAUGAAAUAGAGUAGGAAGAGUAUAUACAACACAUUUAAUUAGGAAUGCUCAGCGAAAAAAUCAGUGUAUUAUCAAAAUCAAGCAUGCUAAUUAACCAUCUGUACUAAAAUGCUAAUUUUGUAAGGAAAACAAUAUCAAUCGACAUUUUCUCAUCAAGAACAUAUACACAAGUUUCCCCUUAAAAUAAAAUAAAAAUUAUUAGUGUGCUUGCAAGUUAUUAGCUUCUUACUUCUUAGCAGAAAUACAAACAACAAAAGAAUGAAACUUUCAAUGAUAAAGUUUGACAGUAAAGCAUAAUAUUAGCACUGGCGGAAAAGCAUAAAAAAAAAAAAACAAGAAUCGCGCACAAACUAUGGAAGACUUGCACAAAGAAACAUACAUGAUGAUAAAAUGUAGCAGAGACACUCCGACAUGAAUCUCAAGUUCGCUGCUUCACCCCAAGAUUAGAAGAUAGCUUGCGCUGUUGCAUUUCCUGCUGUAUAGUUGGCAACCCACAAGUAGAGCAUACAUUAAAACAUAUUCUCGACACCAGAGUUUGCUAAAACAUUUAGCCACAAACAAAAAAAUUUUAAUUCCUGCUCAUGAAAAAUACACAGAAACUCUUAGUUACUUUUGAAUAUAAUAUUUUUUCGAGUCAGUUCCUAAAAUUUCUGUUUAUGAUCAUAUUCUAAGCUACUCCUGCAGAAACUAUAUAUAAUUGAGUAUAGAUGUCUACAACUCCCUUACCAAAUACUACUCUUUCGACUAUUUCUUAUAGUUGUUGAAAAGUUUCUUCAUCACUUCUAUCAAUGCUUGAUCAUCCAACUGUGAGAGCACAAACAAACAGUGGGUAAAGUGUUGCUUCUAUUGUACUUUUUAGUUUGAAUUUUAUUAUCCUCUUUCGAUUUCAGUAAAGAUUAACAAAAAAAAAUUGGGGUUAUUCAAAAAGAUUUUGCUAGUUGCAGAGAAACUUACUGUUCUUGUAAUUCCAAUAAUCACUAUCAAUCAAUCAUAAUUAUCUUAGAUAAUGAUAUGACAAUUAGGUUUUUCAAAGGUAAACACCAACCAAGAUUCAACGCCAACAAAGUAAGACUUGUAAACUUACAUAUAUCAUCAACUUUUCAAACUGAUACAAUCCAGCGAAGACUCACAUACAUGCAUCUUUAAGCAAGUCCAGUACCUGUCAAAGAAACAAGUAGACCAAUUGAGAGAUCAAGAUUCAUGUUUCCAUGUGAGCUUUGUCCUAACAAAACAGAUCAACCAGGAAUCCAAGCUGUUUCAAUAGAAUUAACUGACCGAACAGCCUGACUAAUGAGACUACUAGAGCUAAUUAAGAUGCUGCAUCUUUACGAUCGGAAGCUUGAAUGGACAGACUCAUUAAGAGCUAACUAUUUUGCCUAACCGACCGAUCUAACUGCCCUAGAUGACUCCCGUUUCCUGAUAUACUUUGUUUUGCCUAAACGAGUAACGGCCUUCUUUUAUAUAUGGAGGGUUCAGCUACCUAUAGUAACUUAUUGACUUACUUAACCAGAGGAUCAACUGUGUAAAACCAUUCAAUAAUUCUUUAAUAGUAAUUUACCUUCUCAAAACAAUGAGCUCCACCCUAAUACAGGUCUGGAUCGUAUUUGUUGCACAUUAGCUUAACCUGAAAAUUUAAUGAAAGAAGUUCUGAGAUCUCCAAAAAGAAAGAACAACAACAACAAACACCAAUGGUAUUAUCAUAACAUCAAAAUUCAUCAAUAAAGGAUAUUAAUUUCAACUCUCCAAAGACUAAGCACAUCUCAAUUUUCAAAAUCUAACCACAUAAUUUUUUUGUAGAAUCUUGAAUAAUUACUCUUUCUUGUACCUUUGUUUUGCUCAUCCAUUGCAAGAAUAAAAUUAAAUUCUCUGAAAUUAGCUGCCUCAUGACUCGGUCUGGUUAAUGAUGUUAUCACUCAAUCCGGCGAAGUUUCGCAGCACUUUUCAUUCUUGGAUCAGCCAUAUCUCACAAAUCAAAAGUGAAUCAGAAACAUGAACUGAAAAGUCUCAAUAGCUCUUGACGAUUCUUCCUUCUUCUUCUGAUGAACUCUAAUUUUGCUGUUCUUUAUCUACAAUUAGUUUCAGUUAAACAUUAAACAAUCUUAUAUAAAAUAAAAGGUUAUUAUUAAAGACGAAAAUGGCAUAAGGGUUUCUAACCUCCUACAUCGAUUCCCAUCUCUGAAGCUCUCAUCAUCUCUGAUCCUCCAAGAUUUGAUAUACCCCGCAUUCUCCUAUCUUCCAGUUGUCAUUACCGCCUAUCUUCCGGUUGUCAUUAUUGGGUGAUGUGAACUGAAAGAGAAGCUCGGUGGAAGUCACAUCCUCUGCUUCAACUUCAAAUGUGUAGAUAUGCUCUCUUAAAACUGGAUAUAUAAGAUAAUUUCUUGGUGUACACCGAACUUCGAAAUCAUUCUGUUUGUCCAUGAUUUCAAUCCAUAUAGAACGAUUAUCAUCACCAGUUUCUUCAUUAGUUUUAAGCAGCAUGAUGCAAGCCUUAAAUCUCAAAGAUUUAGGAAGAGGCGACUCAUUCAACUUGAUUGUCAAUAAACCUCCAGCAGUAGCUCGGUGAUUGAAGCAGGCAGGCACUUGUGUACUUGGUAACACCGCAUAUCUAGAAGUGGAUGUGUGCAUGAUGAGAUCUCUGGCUUCUUGUUUCAAUUUGAAGCAGUUGCUGAAGUUCAAACGGAUCUCCGGAUUGUUAAAGGAACAAUCCAGUGUCUCAAGGGAUUGACAAUUGUCAGCAUCUAUGUAAGAUAGAGAAUCUGAAAAUUGGGGGAGGGAUACCAGAUUCUUGCAGUUUUGGAGUCUAAGUACUCUUAAACGAGACAUUCCCUUGACACAUGGAGGAACUUCUUGUAUAUCUUCGUUCAACUGCAGCUCUGUGAUGAUGUCAAGAGCAUGUGGGAAUUCCUUGAGGCUUUCAAAGUAUGACAUACUGAAAUCAUAAAGACGAGACCACGACAUGAUCGACAAAGGAACUUCUUUUAUUGAUGUUCCUGUGAGCAACAGAUACGUAAUGUGUGUGGAGAUCUCAGGAAAACUUUUCAACUGCGAGCAAUCUGUGAGAUCAAGAAAAAAGAGAGAUUUCAAGUUGAUGUUGGUUGGAAGAGCCUCUACCUUUGAGCAUCCUCUCAUUUUCAAAUAAGACAAUAGCUGAAGGUUCCCUAUGGAAGAAGGAAGCUCCACCAUAUUUGAGCAAUUAGAUAGAUCCAAAUCUUUGAGAUUAGUGAGAUCUCCAAGAGAGGACGGGACAUUCACGAGACUUGAGCAUCCGCUAACAUACAAUUUCUUCAGAUUUGUGGCAGUUCCAAUAGAAGGAGGUAGCUCUAGUAGACUUGAGAAAUUACUGAGAUUCAAUAGGUCAAGUUUAGUGGCAUUGAUAAAAGACGGGAGUUUCACAAGACGGGAGCAAUUUGCAAGUUCCAGUUCCUCCAGUUUAGUUGCAUUCUCUAUAGAGGGAAGCUCCACAAGAUUUAAGCAAUCAACGAGAUUUAAUUUCUGGAGAUUGGUCAAAUUCCCAAUAGAAGAAGGGAUUUUCACCAGCUUUGAGCAUCCAGAGAGAUUUAGUUCCCGGAGAUUGGUUGCAUUCCCAAUAGAAGAAGGGAUUUUCACCAGCUUUGAGCAUUCCGAGAGAUUUACUUCCCGGAGAUUGGUUGCAUUCCCAAUAGAAGAAGGAAGCUUCCUUAAACUCUCACACCAAGUGAGAUUUAACUCUUCAAGAUUAAUUGCGGUCGAAAGAUCGGGAAGCUCUUUCAGAUCUUCAGAAAAAGACAAAUCCAUCCACUUGAGAUUUUUAAGUUGCUGCAUUGACACAAUAAGAAAAUGAUGACAGGAUUGGUUUAUAAAGCUGGAGUUUGUUAAACAUUAUAUAUUUUUACUGAUACAAAUUAAUGAGAUUAUAAAAAUAUAAAAAAUGGUUUUGAAAAUUGAAUUUUUUAAAUCAAAAUUACUUACUUUAGUUCCUUUCCAUAGCUUCUUAAGCUUGCUAUCCCUCAUACAUAGUUCGACGAGAGACUCCGAAUUAAAACUAGAUCGCAAACAUUUACUUUCGAAACCACUCCAAUCCAGUAAUCUAAUCUUUUGAGAAUGAUACAAAAGUGAGUGCAGUCUCUCAAACUGAGAAAGACACUCACCCUUGAUUCUUAUGAUUUCGAGAUCUGACAAUCUUUUAAGUGCUUUCUUACUUAUCUUCAUUUUCUUCUCAGUCAUAGAUAAAUUCAUGCCUAUAAACCGUCUAUCAUCCUGAAAAAAGAGCCAAAACAAGAACAAAAGAUUAGUAGAUAUAUAACAUAGUUAGUUAUCAAAUAAACUCAAUUGUAAGGCAAAAAACUUACAGUUGUAUCAUUACUAAGCACUUCAGAGAUAUCUCUUUUAUCAGUCAAAAGCUGAUAUUUCGAAAACUGAUCGUGGACGAAUUGCUUACGAGAAGUUUCUCUUCCGAAUUGUGCUAGCACAUCAUGCAUAUGUAUAUAUCCCGUUGUAUAGUCAAAAGAUAUGAAAGAUUUCUCAGCUAAGACAAGAAUACCAGCUUUCGUGACAUACAAGAACUUCUUUGAAAGAAUCUCUUCCACUUUAUGUUGAUCUUCAUUGUUGAAAAAGCAGGCUAUAUAAAGAAAUAAAUAUUUAUAUUCAUCAUCUAAGGCCUCAUAACUGAACUUUAGAAUGCUCUCUAUUUCUCCAUUAAGGCUGGUCUUUAACAUUGGUAGUGUCAUUUCCCACUCUGCCUUGGGCUUUCCUUUCAAAGUGGAGCCUAGAAUCUUCAGUCCCAAAGGGAGUUUACCAGCAAGGUUUGCAACUUCCCUAGCAAGUUCAUCGAAGCCAUCAUCAGGGCGCUUGUGUCCAAAGGCAUGCAUACAAAAGAUUUGAAAAGCCUCCUCACUUAAUGGAAAUUCCACGUCGUAAAUAUGACUUAUCCCAUGGGCGUUCAAAACUCCUCGAUCUUCUGUUGUGAUUAUAAUCCGACUUCCAGAACCAAACCACUGAUUUUUUUCCGCCAAGACUUGUAGCUGACUUAAGCAAUCCACAUCAUCAAGAACGAGUAACACUUUCUUGUCUUUCAACCGUUCUUGUGCCACUCCUAGAUGAGGAAUCAUAUUAUCUUUAAGAUUUAUAGUCNNNNNNNNNNNNNNNNNNNNNNNNNNNNNNNNNNNNNNNNNNNNNNNNNNNNNNNNNNNNNNNNNNNNNNNNNNNNNNNNNNNNNNNNNNNNNNNNNNNNGAUAACAAAUCGCUUUGUAGUUGCAAUUGUGCGCUAAAGUCAUUCAAACGAACACUUGGAUAGCUUCUUUUGAUAUCAAACAUGAUCGCACUAAAUUGGAAUUUGUUGGCUACUUGGUCAAACAUAAUUCUAGCGAUGGUUGUUUUACCAAUCCCAGGCGGCCCCCAAAUCCCGAUCAUCCUUACUUCAUCCAAAUCUAGACGUAACAAUUGUUCCAUCCUUUCCAUAUGAGCUCCUAUCCCUACUAAAUUGUCAAUAUCUCUUGAUGGUGUGGAGAAAUUUAACAUGUUUGAAACAUCAAUGGCUAUGUUUUCGAUCAUGUCCGCUUCAUAACUCCUAACAUAAGAGGAUAUUAACAUAGAUUUAUCAAAUAGUCUAGUCAUGAAAAAUUCUCAUACAUACAGAUCCUAAAGAUAUGUAUUUUAUGUGUCUUGAUGAUUUUCUUAAAAGCUACAAAUAAACAUAGUUUGAAAUCAUACUCUAAAUAAAUAUUAACUAGGAUUUACUUUGCGGUACACCACAUGUCCAUCAUUUAAUAUAUUUGUUUGACUGAUCAUUUUCGUAGUUGGUUUAUAUAGUCUAGUUUUAUACAUGUUUAUAUCUUUUUAAUUUUAUGAAUUUGUAUAAUAAGUAGACUCAUAGAUAUAUGUGGUCAAUCCGCGAUAUACUUCCCACAUAAAAAAACCCGCAGUACACCGCGAGACGAUUUGUUGUAAAUAAAAAUUUAUAUUUUAACUUAACCCGUAAAAACAAUUUAAUAUAGACAACCCGUAAGAAAAAUAUAAUCAUAUUUAUAUAAACUCAAACCCGUUCAAUCAUAUUUAUUUACUAUAUUAUAUAUUUUAAAAUACUUUUAGAGUUAAAAUAUUAAUAGUAUUUUUAAUUUUUUUAGAGGUUAAAUUUUUUUAAUAUUUUAAAUAUUCUAUAAAACUUAAAAUAAAUAUUAUAAUUUUCAGCUUUUAAAAGUUUUAAUAUUUAUAAUAUUUUAAACUUUUUAAAAAAUUAAAUUUUAUAAUAUUUUGAAACUUUUUAAAGAUUUAUUUUUCUUAAAUAAAGAACCGGAUUAAACUGAAUAAAUUUUUAAUUUGGAUACCUGAGAAAUCAAAGUUCAUGUUCAUUUGUAGUUGUGAACAUAUUAGUACUAUUUAUAAUGGUUUUGAACUAUUAUCUAAAAUUUUUUACCGUAUGUAAACGUUCUACAUAUAUUUUUUCCUUUAUUGUUUGAGUUAUAUACGUCCGUUUUCGAAAAAUUAAAUAGCAAAAUGUGUGAAAAACAAAUUUAUUUUUAUUAUAUAUAAAUUUUAUGUAAUAAUAUAAAUUAAAAACAAAUAAGAUUAUAUAAAUAUAUUGGAGAGAGAUUCGAUUUAUUGGAGAGAGAAUCGAUUUAUUGGAGAGAGACAUUUUUGGAAAUAUUUUUGAUGUAAUAAAUAUUUUUUUCCAAUUUUACAAUUUGUUUGUGAUUUAAUUACAAAAUUUACUUGUAAGUUUUGUUAUUUAUUCAAUUGGCAAGGAUUUGAUUAUGUAAAUAUUAUAAAAUAAAAGGUUAUAAACUUUAAUAGAUUUNNNNNNNNNNNNNNNNNNNNNNNNNNNNNNNNNNNNNNNNNNNNNNNNNNNNNNNNNNNNNNNNNNNNNNNNNNNNNNNNNNNNNNNNNNNNNNNNNNNNUUAAUAGUAACACCAUCUAUUUAUAAAAACUGCAAAUUAACCCAUUUAUUUUAACUUUUAUAAAAUUUUAAUAAAAUAGUUACUUUUAUUUAAAUUAAACAUUUACUAUAAAAAUAUUAUUUUAUUUAAAAGUACAUCGUAUUAUAUAAAAAACAAUAAGAUACUAGAUUCUAUUAUAUUAUUAUAUAUAAUAAGGUAAAAUAAAAUCUCUUUUUUCCUUCAAUAAAAAUAAAAUCUAUUAUUAUAUAUAUUUAUAAGAUUUUAUAUAAUUUACUUUUGCAAAUGGUAGUCUCAAAUUUUAGAAUAUAUAUUUAUAUUAAAACCUCUAAAUUGUUUUAUAUUAUUAGUUAUUAAAUAUAUUUAUUUUGUUUAUUUGUUCAUAAAUAAAAGAAGUUUAAGAUUAAAAGGACUAAUUUGUAAUAAAAUAGAGGUGGAUAUAGAGGUGGGCUGGAGCAAAAAUUGCUAUAAAAUAGAGUUUAGAGGCAAAAAUAGAGGUGGUGUUGGAGAUGCUCUAAUAGAAGAACUCUAUAAUAAAUGUGACUUUUGCACCAAUGUAUUUCUCUAUUUUUUCCUCUAUAAUAGAAUAUUCCAAAUAGAUUUUUCUAAAAUUUUAAUAUUAACACCAUCUGUUUAUAAAAGUUGCAAAUUAACCCACUGACUUUAACUUUUAUAAAAUUUUAAUAAAAUAAUUACUUUUAUUUAAAUUAAACAGUUAUUAUAAAAACAUCAUAUUAUACAAUAUUUGGACAAUACUUUAACGACAUUGGUGGAUCCGGAAGUAAUUUAAGAGAGUAAUAAGUAAUUUUUUUUUGUAUUAAAAGUAUUAUUAUGGAAUAAAUAAAAAAUAAAAUCUUUUUUUUUCCUUCCAUAAAAAUAAAAUGUAUUAUUUAUAUAAAUUAACUUUUGGAAAUGGUAGUCUCGAAUUUUAGAAUUUAUAUUUAUAUUAAAACCUUUAAAAUAUUUUAUAUUAUUAUUAGUUAUUAAAUAUAUUUAUUUUAUUUAUUUUGUUCAUAAAUAAAAGAAUUUAAGAUUAAAAUGACUAUUUUGCAAAUAAAAUAGUUCACCUCUAUUUAUGGAGGGAAAAAUAGAGUUCCCCUAUAUAUAGAGAUAAAAAUAGCAAUCUCUAUAAUAGAGGUGGAUAUAGAGGUGGGUUGGAGCAAAAAUUGCUAUAAAAUAGAGUUUAGAGGCAAAUAUAGAGUCAUAGAGGUGGGUUGGAGAUGCUCGGAGAAUAUAAAUCAAGAGGACAUACCCUUUGUGAGAAUGAUAUCCGGCAAUUGUGGCCACAUCCUCCAACGCUUUUCUCCAUGUCUCAGUACGCUCUUUUGUUUUACCUUUACAAGUUUUUCUAAAGGCUUUUCCAAAAUCACCAGUCUGUUUCUUUAUGUCAGUUGGAUCCACUUCAUAAAAAAUGGUCAUGACUAUGUGACCCGACUCUUUCCAGCAUUUCAUGAUCUCUGCCAACUCAUCAAGACACCAUGAAGAAGAAGCAUAGUUCUUGGAGAGCAAGACGAUCGCGAUCUUUGAUCCUCUUAUAGCUUCUAUGAGCGCAGGACCGAUAGACUUGCUCCUUUGUAUAUCAUUAUCAAUGAAUGGGUCGAUUCCCUUUAGCUUGAACACUACAAGGAAAUGACUAAGAAAGGUUCUUCGGACAUCUGGUCCGUGGAAGCUCGGAAAGACAUCGUGUUUCCAAGUUUGAGAAACAUAAGUUGAAGGAGAUGGAAGAGAUAAAGAAGAAGAAGAAGUACUUCCAUUGUUAUCUUGUUUGAAUCUGAAUUUUACAAAAAGCAUGAGGAAGCCUAUAGCGGCUGUCACUAAGACAAGGAAAAAGAAAGAAUCCAUUAGUAUGGAGGAAGAAUUUUAGAGAGAGGAAGAGGCUUUGAGUGACUGUCGAAGACUUUAUUGGCAAAGAAACUCCAUUGAUGUUUCUUGGAAAAUAAGGUGAGAUUUCGUGGAAAAUGUUUGCUAACGACAAAAUCACUGUCCCACAAUACUCCAACACCAUUCACUUAAUUUCUCCGAAACCAAAUAAUGAUAUGAUAAGAUAAGCAUCUCAAAUAACAACACCUCUCGUUCCACAAUGCUCCACCACGAAUUCACUUAAUUUCUCGGAAGCCAAAUAAUGAUGAUAAGGUAAACAUCUCAAACAACAACACUUGACGUCCAUACAUUCUUAUUUUUUUUCUCUCUCUUUUAAUAAUAUUGAAUGAUAGAUAGAACACAAAUCUUAUCUUAAGAAUAUGUACAGUUUAACAAGGUUUAGGAAAGAAAAAAUAAAUGACAGAGAUUGAAGCUUCACAUCAUUUCUCAUACUCUUACUUUACUAAGAUGUCUAUAAAUGUAAUAAUAGAAUAAAAGAACUCUAAGUUUUGUGUGCAAAGCUAUAAAUCUCAAUAAUAGAAACAACAAAAGUGAGACUCUGAACUUGCAGUAUCAUCAACUUUACACGGUAAUACUGUCCAGCAAAGACUCACAAGCAUCUUCAAGCAAGUCCAGUACCUGCAAAAGAAACAGCAGACCAAGUUACAGACAAAUAUUCAACUUUCCUUGUGAGUUUGUCCAAACAAAACAAUAUAAUUCUGGAACUUGAAGGCUACUUGGUGGUGACAAUGGCAUGCCAUUUUAAAGUCUUAUAAACUAAAAUCAACCAUUUGAUAGAUCUCUAGUGGUUGAAUUUCAUCUAUCUAAACCAAUAGUUGCUAGUACUACUCCACAAUAAGCUUCUCCAAUCUCUAAUGGUAAUUACCUUUUCAAAACCUUGAGCUCCACCAUAAUAUGGAUCAGGAACAAACUUGUCAUUGUGUUUCUUGCAAUACGAACACAUUAGCUUAACCUGAAAUUUCAAUGGAAAAAUGUUCAGAAAAUCUCCUAGAAAGAGUUCCAUAGUCAAGCAAACAACAACAAACACAAACGGUGGUACCUUCUUAUCUGCAUCGGGCGGGAAAUUCCCUCUGGCUUUCCAUACAUUAUAAGCCUUCAAUAUAUCCUCUGUAAACAUCAAACAUUCAAACUCAUAUUUAUUUGCAAAUUCCUAGUCCUAAGCAAUACAUUAUAAGCCUUCAAUAUAUACUCCUUCUUCAACCUUUGUUCUGUUCAUCCAUAGCAAGAAUGAGAUCAAAUUCCUUGAAGUCAGAUGCCUUAAUCGGUCUGGAUAAUGAUGUUAUCUCAAUCCCGCGACGUUUCGCAGCACUUCUCAUUCUAGGAUCCGCCAUAUUCCCCUUUUAAAAGAACAGUUUCACAAAUCAAAAAUUGAAUCAGAAACAUAAAAUUCAAAGUCUCCACUGCUCCCUUACUCCCACCAAAUUACAUAAAUCCAAAACCAAACCUUUCUACGUCUAAAAAAGCAUCAUUCACUAAUUGCCCAAAUCGAGCAUCAAUCUUUCUAUACAAUCCUAAAGUUAGAUAAUUGUUUUUGUUCAUCCCUUUGUAAAGAGAACAGUUUCACAAAUCACAAACAUAAACUUCAAAAUCCUCCAUUGCUCCUUACUCCCACCAAAUUACAUCCACCAAAAUCAAAACCCUAAAUCCAAAAUCUAACCUUUCUACAUCUGAAAAGAAUCAUUCACUAAUCGUUCUAAUCAAGCUCAAGCAUCAGUCUUCUUCUUACACAACCCUAAAGCUAUUAUCUUUGAAUUCGAAAAUGGAACAGAAAUGGUAAGUGUACCUCGUGAUAAUCAAUGGUACCAGCGGAAUCAAUGUUGAAUUUGGAAUCGAGACCUCUCUUCUUCACAAUAUCUCUAAAGACACCUUCAGCUGCAGGACUCCGACAGAUGUUCCCGAGACAGACGAAAAGAACAGAGUAAGGUUUGGUCUCGCUGCUCUGCGUCGGAGUUGUCGUCUCCAUUGAAGAUGAUGCAAAGCACUUAAGGGAAUGAGAAAUUCUGGGUUUUUCUCUGAAAAUCGAAACGAGGUUAGGGUUUUUGUGGGACGAUCGGAAUGUGG